GACGAACGCUGGCGGCGUGCUUAACACAUGCAAGUCGAGCGAGGCCCAUCCUUCGGGGUGGUGCCCUAGCGGCGAACGGGUGAGUAACACGUGGGCAACCUGCCCUCAGCUCUGGGAUAACUCCAAGAAAUUGGUGCUAAUACCGGAUGUGACCGCUGACCGCAUGGUCUGGUGGUGGAAAGAUUCAUCGGCUGAGGAUGGGCCCGCGGCCUAUCAGCUUGUUGGUGGGGUAAUGGCCCACCAAGGCGACGACGGGUAGCCGGCCUGAGAGGGUGACCGGCCACACUGGGACUGAGACACGGCCCAGACUCCUACGGGAGGCAGCAGUGGGGAAUAUUGCACAAUGGGCGAAAGCCUGACGCAGCGACGCCGCGUGAGGGAUGACGGCCUUCGGGUUGUAAACCUCUUUCAGUAGGGACGAAGCGAGAGUGACGGUACCUACAGAAGAAGCACCGGCCAACUACGUGCCAGCAGCCGCGGUAAUACGUAGGGUGCAAGCGUUGUCCGGAAUUAUUGGGCGUAAAGAGCUCGUAGGCGGUCUGUUCGWGUCGGUCUGKGAAAACCCGAGGYUCAACCUCGGGCCUGCAGUCGAUACGGGCAAACUAGAGUACUGCAGGGGAGACUGGAAUUCCUGGUGUAGCGGUGAAAUGCGCAGAUSUCAGGAGGAACACCGGUGGCGAAGGCGGGUCUCUGGGCAGUAACUGACGCUGAGGAGCGAAAGCGUGGGGAGCGAACAGGAUUAGAUACCCUGGUAGUCCACGCCGUAAACGUUGGGCGCUAGGUGUGGGGGCCAUUCCACGGUCUCCGUGCCGCAGCUAACGCAUUAAGCGCCCCGCCUGGGGAGUACGGCCGCAAGGCUAAAACUCAAAGGAAUUGACGGGGGCCCGCACAAGCGGCGGAGCAUGUUGCUUAAUUCGAUGCAACGCGAAGAACCUUACCUAGGCUUGACAUGWACGGAAAUCUCGUAGAGAUACGGGGUGCCUUUGGCGUCGUGCACAGGUGGUGCAUGGUUGUCGUCAGCUCGUGUCGUGAGAUGUUGGGUUAAGUCCCGCAACGAGCGCAACCCUCGUUCUAUGUUGCCAGCACGUGAUGGUGGGGACUCAUAGGAGACUGCCGGGGUCAACUCGGAGGAAGGUGGGGAUGACGUCAAAUCAUCAUGCCCCUUAUGUCUAGGGCUGCAAACAUGCUACAAUGGCCGGUACAAAGGGCUGCGGUACCGCGAGGUGGAGCGAAUCCCAAAAAGCCGGUCUCAGUUCGGAUUGGGGUCUGCAACUCGACCCCAUGAAGUUGGAGUCGCUAGUAAUCGCAGAUCAGCAACGCUGCGGUGAAUACGUUCCCGGGCCUUGUACACACCGCCCGUCACGUCACGAAAGUCGGUAACGCCCGAAGCCGGUGGCCCAACCCUUGUGGAGGGAGCCGUCGAAGGCGGGAUCGGCGAUUGGGACG
rnacentral:rRNA from 1 species